rnacentral:lncRNA from 1 species
AAUCACCAUCACCACCUCUCCGCCGUGCCUCCACCACCACAAGCAAAUCAUUCAACCGCGAAAUACAAAUCCCGAUACCAAAUUUCCCAUUUUGCCCCUCCAUCUCAAACCCAUACUCUUCCUCCUUCUUCUUCUUCAUCCUCAGAUUCUCCUCUCUCGCAAACCCCUCCACUUCCUCCGCCAACAUCUCCGGCGACUUUUCCGAUAAAAACCUCUCCGAUUCACCACUCGAAUUACUACAACCAGCAAACAAUCCCGACAAAUCCAAUCCCGACGAGUAAGAAAUCAAAUCAAACGCGUUUAAACUCUUCACAGCUUCUAGUGACGAUUCCACUUUCUGAUCUUCGAUCUCGUCAUCGUGGAACUUGAUCUGUUUAAAACCUCCUCUAACAAACCAAGGAUCUUUCAAAAUCUCAUCAAUGGUGAUUCUAGUCUCAGGAUUAAUAUCUAAAAGACGAGAAACGAAUCGUUUCAGAUCUGGAGACAUCCAACGAGGAAAACGAUACUCUCCUUUAUAAAUCUUCUUAUACAUAUUCAUCACAUUCGGAUCGUUAAACGGUAAAUAACCGGCGACGAGAACGAACAAGACGAUUCCACAAGACCAUACAUCAACUUUAGCACCUUCAUAUCCUUUUUUAGAUAGAAUCUCCGGCGCAACGUACGCCGGAGUACCACACAAGGUAUGUAACAACCCAUCGGGUCGGAUCUGAUCCGUUAACGCGCUUAGACCGAAAUCGGAAACUUUUAAGUUUCCGUUUUCGUCUAUUAAUAGAUUCUCUGGUUUGAGAUCGCGGUGGUAAACACCGCGAGCGUGGCAAUAACCAACGGCGGAGAUCAGUUGCUGGAAAUAUCUCCGGCUUAAAUCUUCGCUAAGACGUCCAUGUUUUGAGAUUUUGUUGAAUAGUUCUCCUCCUUUAACAAACUCCAUUGCGAAGAAGAUCUUUGAUUUUGUCGCCAUUACUUCGUGGAGCUUGACGAUGUUUGGAUGAGAUAAUCUUCUCAUGAUUGAGAUCUCGCGUUUGAUGUUGUUGGCUAGAGCUGGAUUUGUGAGGAGUUUUUUCUUGUUGAGGAUUUUCACGGCGACGCUUUGGCCGGUACGACGAUCACGUGCGUGGAAGACUUUGGCGAAUGCGCCGCAUCCGAGAAGCUUUCCGAGCUCAUAUUUACCGAAUAAGGCGUCGUUGUUGUCGCCGCUGCCGGCGGCAAUCUCGAUCUCUGGCAUGAUUGAUGAAUCCAGAGAUUGAUUGAUGAAUAAGAAAACUUCGCCGGAGAAUUUGAAUCUGUUUCGUUUGCGCGUAAUGCAGAUGUGAUGAACACGUAAUGAAGAAUUGAAGAUAGCGACUUGGUUAGUAACUUAUACUAACAAAACAUGUUCCACGAGGUAAUGGCAGGUGUCUCUCACACACGUGGCAAUAUCCGAACGGUGGAACAAGUCGACGCGGCGCCGGCUUCAAGCUGGACGGUUCUGGAUCGUGGGCCGGCUGUUGAAAAAUCGGUGCUGAGAUAUGUUUC